UACACACUGAUUCAACCAACAAGGAUUACUAACAAUAACUUAAGGGGCACGUUUGAUGAGCAUGAAAUAUCAUACAGCACCCGAACUAAAACUUAAAUUUUGAAAAUUUUUUUAUCACCUUCUCAUUUUUAUGUUAAAUGUUUAGAAAAAAAUUAAUUGUUUUUGUGAGUAAGCGAGACUUCGUGCAAAAGUUGGGGGUAUCAUUGUGGUGUUUGAAAAUUUGAGCGGCUGUGGGCGCCUAUUUAUAAUUUUUUCAAAGUAAGAAUGAAAAGGGGUCACAAUAAAUCAAGAAGUUCAAGAAACACUUCUCAACGGCCAUUCUGUUACGAGGGCUUUCUUUUUCCCGCCGAGUUCCCGGAAAGAAAGCACCCUCUCCUUCUCUCUCGAUGGGAGGAGUUUGGAUCUUCGAUGGCGCGACGAUGGAGGAGGCUGGAUCCUCGAUGGUGCGACGAUGGAGGAGGAUGCAGAUUGCAUCGGUGGGUUGCCGCAGUUCAUCCUUCCAAAUUACGAGCAGCAGCUCCUAUCCAUCAUCCUUCCGCUGGUCGAUCUUUAUGAUCAUUACUUGGAAGGGAAGGGGAGGGGGGGCAUCUAAAAGGUCGAGAGACAGAGUAGCGAAGUGGAGAAGAGUUCGAUCGGCCUCGUCCCUCGCUCGUCGAUCCAUCGAUUCGCGAUUUCACUAUUUAGUGAUCGAUCGAUCGGUCCGUCUCCUUCGCUUUGGAUUACGUGUUCGACGAGACUUGCACGAACUUGAGCGUUUAUGAGCAUCACACGAAGGAUGUCAUCCAAGCGGCAGUCAAGGGAUUCGAUGUGGACUUGAUUGUUUGAAGCUUUCAACAAAUUGUGGGCAGAUCUCGAAGAGGCUGGUCUUGCUGUGAAGAAGGAAUCAUCUACAUCAAGACUACCAAGAUGACAGUGUGGUGGGGAGGUCAUAGAGCCACUCGUCGGUAAGCAGUGGUAUGUAGUCAUGGGGCCUUAGUGCACUGGAAAACGGGGAUAUAUCUAUCAUUCUUGAGAGGUUUGAAAAGUUCACAAUGGCGAUCGAGGGCGGCAACGAUUGCAUCAAGA